GACGAACGCUGGCGGCGUGCUUAACACAUGCAAGUCGAACGGAAAGGCCCUGCUUUUGUGGGGUGCUCGAGUGGCGAACGGGUGAGUAACACGUGAGUACCCUGCCCUUGACUUUGGGAUAACUUCAGGAAACUGGGGCUAAUACCGGCUAGGAGCUCCUGCUGCUUGGUGGGGGUUGGAAAGUUUCGGCGGUUGGGGAUGGACUCGCGGCUGAUGAGCUGGUUGGUUGGGUAGUGGCUUACCAAGGCUUUGACGGCUAGCCGGCCUGGGAGGGUGACCGGCCAGCUAGGCAGGGAGAGAGAGACCGCACACAUACGGGCGGGAGGAGGGGGGAGUGAAGAUUGAAGGGCGGAAGCCUGCUGCAUCAAGGACGGGUGCGGGAUUACGGCCUUCGGGUGGUAAGCAGCGUUCGCCUGUGACGAAGCGUGAGGAACGGAACGGGGGAAAGAGGCACCGCUAAAUUACGG
rnacentral:rRNA from 1 species